rnacentral:sRNA from 1 species
AUUUGGUAUUUUAACAGAGGGAUCGUGAUCUGGAACUCGCUGCUCGAAUUGGACAAGCUCUCUUAAAGCGGAACCAUGUCUUAUCUGAGCAGAAUGAAUCCCUGGAGGAGCAACUGGGACAAGCCUUUGAUCAAGUUAAUCAGCUGCAGCAUGAGCUAUCCAAGAAAGAUGAGUUACUUCGAAUCGUCUCCAUUGCUUCCGAAGAAAGUGAAACUGAUUCCAGCUGUUCUACACCUCUUCGGUUCAAUGAGUCCUUUAGCUUAUCUCAAGGGUUGCUACAGUUGGAAAUGCUGCAAGAAAAGCUCAAGGAACUGGAAGAAGAGAAUAUGGCUCUUCGAUCCAAGGUACGUUCAACCUAAUUGCCAUUUUCCUUUACUUUAAAGGCUAUAAAGUUCAAGUCCAGGUACUAUUGAGGUGAAAUAUGGCAUAAGUAAGGAUUUGCUAUUGGCAUUCCAAUUAGAGAGUCAUGGACAAGGAGCUGUAUUUGUCUUGCCUUCCAUUGUUCUUAGAUCCCACUGAAAAGUGGAUAGUAGCAGGUUGACAGUACAAUAGUGAAAGUCACAGGAUAGAAAAUGUAUUUUGUGGAGUUUACACAAGUAACUAAGUAGUUACAACUGUGAUAAGAACUAUCUCAGAAAAUCACAAUAUUCUGUGAACUUGUAUAGUAUGGGCAUCAAGGAAGUCCUACUUAAGCAAGGAUCAUUUUAGCCAAGGCCAGGGAUGAGCCAGGUAGAGAUGUAUGAACAGGUUGUUGGGUUUUUUCCUUUGUAAGUGAUGAAAUUUAGUCUUCAAAUGAGAAUUAAAGGUUUUUGUAGUUAUUUCUAUAAAAUCACUAGAAGGUAUUG